CAACACCAAAUGUCACCUUUGAUUCAUUCUGUAAUUAUGUCAUACCAGCAGACACAGCAGAUGGGACUGGGACCGAAACAGCUGUACAGCUUUUGGAGGCCAUCUAUGACAAUGAUCCUGGAUCUACAUCUCCUCCCCACCCAUCGAAGGGUAGAGAGGCAAGACAUCGAAGAACUCCUCUUUGGCAAAAACAAUUUUGGUGCAUUUGAAAUUAAAAUGGUCAAAUAAAGAUUUUUCUUAAAUGUA